rnacentral:rRNA from 1 species
GCGAACGUUAGCGGCGGGCCUAACACAUGCAAGUCGCACGAGAAAGUGGCUUCGGCCAUGGAGUAAAGUGGCGGACGGGUGAGUAACACGUGGAUAAUCUGCCCUUCAGCGGGGGGAUAACAGUCCGAAAGGAUUGCUAAUACCGCAUACGUCGGCGGGGGACUUUGGUUCCUGUCGGGAAAGCCGACCUCUCCAUGGAAGUUGGCACUGAGGGAUGAAGUCCGCGGCCCAUUCAGCUAGUUGGCGGUGUAGAAAAGACCAACCAAGGCGAAGACGGGUAGCUGGUCUGAGAGGAUGAUCAGCCACACACUGGGACUGAGACACGGCCCAGACUACUCCUACGGGAAGGCAGCAGUGGGGAAUAUUGGGCAAUGGAGCGCAAGCCUGACCCAGCCACUGCCCGCGUGAGUGAUGAAGGCCUUCGGGUCGUAAAGCUCUGUGGGGAGGGACGAAAAUACGCUGGCUAACAUCCAGCGAGUUAACGGUACCUCCUUUAAGCAAGCACCGGCUAACUCACGUGCCAGCAGCCGCGGUAUACGGAGGGUUGCAAACGUUGCUCGGAAUCAUUUGGGCGUAAAGCGCAUGUAGGCGGUCCGGCAAGUCGGGUGUUGAAAGCCCUCGGCUUAACCGAGGAAGUGCAUUCGAAACUACCGGACUUGAGUACUGAAGAGGGUCGCGGAAUUCCCCGGUGUAGAGGUGAAAUUCGUAGAUAUCGGGAGGAACACCAGUGGCGGAAGGCGGCGACCUGGGCAGAUACUGACGCUGAGAUGUCGAAAGCGUGGGGAGCAAACAGGAUUAGAUACCCUGGUAGUCCACGCCGUAAACGAUGGAUGCUAGUCGUCGCGGGUAUUGACCCCUGCGGCAACGAAGUUAACGCAUUAAGCAUCCCGCCUGGGGAGUACGGCCGCAAGGCUAAAACUCAAAGGAAUUGACGGGGGCCCCGCACAAGCGGUGGAGCAUGUGGUUCAAUUCGACGCAACGCGAAGAACCUUACCUGGGUUAAAUCCACCGGAAUCCUGCAGAGAUGUGGGAGUGCUCGCAAGAGAGCCGGUGAGAAGGUGCUGCAUGGCUGUCGUCAGCUCGUGUCGUGAGAUGUUGGGUUAAGUCCCGCAAACGAGCGCAACCCCUGUCGUUAGUUUGCUACCCAGGAAAGCUGAGCACUCUAACGAGACUUGCCGACGUUAAGUCGGAGGAAGGUGGGGAUGACGUCAAGUCCUCAUGGCCCUUAUGCCCCAGGGCUACACACGUGCUACAAUGGCCGGUACAGAGGGUCGCGAAGCCAGCGUAGGCAACGCCAAUCUCAAAAAAACCGGUCUCAGUUCGGAUAGAAGUCUGCAACUCGACUUCUUGAAGUCGGAAUCGCUAGUAAUCGCGGAUCAGCACGACCGCGGUGAAUACGUUCCCGGGCCUUGUACACACCGCCCGUCACACCAUGGGAGUCAGUUGCUCCAGAAGUGGCUUACCUAACCCCGCAAGGGAGGGUGGUCCCCAAGGAGUGGCUGGUAACUGGGGGU